rnacentral:lncRNA from 7 species
AUCUCUAAAUUUUUUUCUCAUAGAAAAAAGUAUAUGGAGUGUUUUCUUUGCCUCUGGGUUAGUGAUGAAACAAUGCCUAUUUGAGAGGAAAUAUUCAGAAGAACUAAUGUGUUAUGCCUCUGGACGGGGCAUACAGUGUACGUGGUAACGGGUAUUUUUUAAAGAUCAGAAUAAUGCUUGUACUCCAGUACUGCAACACCUGUGUAGAGAUGAAUGCAGCAGACCUGUGCUGAUAUGCACGGUGCUCUGAAAAAUCCUCCAACAAGGAGAAACUAUUCCUAUGUAUUUGAAUUCAUGGAUCAGAGGAGUGCACUGGGACCCUCAAAAUGAUGAACUCACCCUUGCUGUCAUCUCCCUGGAAAAGCAUAUGUUGGUUGAAUUAAACUCUUCGUUUUGCUGCGUUUGGUGGUUAUCAAAUGAGGAGGGAGUCCUUGGAUGUGGAGGUGAAUUCCUGUGCAGAGGAGCUGGGGUUACAGACAGGUCCUUUCCUUUCUGCCUUAGUGCCAGGUUUGCACUGCAUCCUGUGGGAUAUUAGAAUGAGCUGCCAAGAAGCUAGAAGACAGGUCUUUCUAGACAAAAUAUCUAGACCAUGGAGCAUAUGGCAGCCUCCAAGGAAGACAACAUGUCUCAGUCUGCUGGAGAACUCUUCCCUUGCAGGCGACUUCUUUGGGAGAUGAAGGUUUUGUAGUAUUCAUUGGCAAAGGAUGGUGAUGAAAAUCUGGUGUUCUGUAUCAGUGAUUCAUAAGCCCACCUCAUGAUCAGCUGUAAUGAUGAUCUGCUAGAGUAAUGAUAAUUCACGAAGAGGAUCAUUGUGUAAAGGAAAAAUGAAAACACAGUGGUCUAUCUGAACAAAUAUAUCAUCAGUGUCUAAAACUAUUCAGGUUUCUUUUUCUUUUCUUGUAUUUUUAUUUUUCUUGAGUCAUUUUUCUCCUGUUAUAUUCUUCUGCAUUUCCUCUAGGCUGGUAGUUUGGAUAUGUUCUCCAAAAACACUGUCUUAUUGUAGUUGUAAUGUUAUUUUCUCCUGUCUAAAUGUGUGUUAAAUGAACUGGGGAGAACAUGUAGGUUGUAAAUAGCACAUGCAAAUAAAACUGCGUUCAGCACAGUUGCCUAAUGGAAUAUUAAGAGGAAUUAUAUGUGGAACUCAUUUUAAUAAUGUUUUAUAAUUUAAAAAAAGAAAAAAGCAUGAAAAUUUAUGAAUUGCAAAAAGCUAUAAUUUUUGCUUCCUAAAGAAAUUUUGCUUCCUAAAAAAAUAUAAAUGAGGUUUUCUUUAUUUCUUUCCUUCAACUAACUUAAUGUUACAUUCUUGAAUUCAAAGGCAAAAAUAAAACUGUUUUUCUCAUAGCUGUGUAAGACUGAAGUUAUCCAAAGAAAACUGAGUUUUCGGGUUUUACAUUUCACCAGAAAAUACUUGGGAAUAAGAAGUAGCUAAAACUUUCUGUGAAUGAGGUAACAAGCAGAAUUGGAAGUGCUUGCUCUUUGACAGCAUUAACCACUUCGUUAUAUGGAUGAUGUAUGUGGUGUUUUUUUUGUUUGUUUGUUUGUUUUAAACUGUAUUUUUCAUCAGUGUAUUAACAUAUAAGAAUUAAACUACAAAUAUAGAACAAUCUCUUGAAAAAUUUGUAAUCCUACUGACGAUGAAUCAUAACUUGAUGAAGGAUUGCUGUUCAGCAGAGUUCCUACUCGAUAAUAUACUUGGCACAGUCUGUAUGCGUGUGGUUUGUGUGUACAUGCAUCUGCAUACCCAGACUGGAGCUUGUAUGUACUUGUAUAUUUAGAUAUAGAUAGUGUUUGUAUAAUCUAUUCUGAAGUAUCAGAAAAUAUUUCAACUGGAAUAGUGGAAUCUGUGGCUCUGAUCUCUGUACUGGUACAUCCUGAGAUACUAUCUCUGCCUCAGACACGGACUACAUGUUUUGGUUUGGUGAGACUUAAUGAUAGACUGAAGUUAAAGCACUAGAAAGAUAGAACUAGCUUUUCUUAACCGCCCCCUCCGCAUAUACCCCCUCACCCUGCUCCUUACUGAAAUAACUGAAUAAAGAAUUACAAUGC